GUGCUCGCUUUGACAGCACACAGACUAAAAUUAGAACGAUACGGAGAAGAUUCGCGUGGGUCCCGCUCAAGGAUGAUGCGCAAGUUCGUGAGGCAGUCCAUUUUUUU